rnacentral:rRNA from 1 species
UCUACGGGUGGCAGCAGUGAGGAAUAUUGGUCAAUGGGCGCAAGCCUGAACCAGCCAAGUCGCGUGAGGGAAGACGGCCCUACGGGUUGUAAACCUCUUUUGCCGGGGAGCAAGCCUGAGCACGUGUGCCCAGGCGGAGAGUACCCGGAGAAAAAGCAUCGGCUAACUCCGUGCCAGCAGCCGCGGUAAUACGGAGGAUGCGAGCGUUAUCCGGAUUUAUUGGGUUUAAAGGGUGCGCAGGCGGGCUGUUAAGCCGGCGGUAAAAAUUCAGGGCUCAACCUUGUCGAGCCGUCGGAACUGGCAGUCUUGAGUGGGCGAGAAGUAUGCGGAAUGCGUGGGGAGCAAAUAGGAUUAGAUACCCGGGUAGUC